rnacentral:rRNA from 1 species
AUUGAACGCUGGCGGCAUGCCUUACACAUGCAAGUCGAACGGCAGCACGGGUGCUUGCACCUGGUGGCGAGUGGCGAACGGGUGAGUAAUAUAUCGGAACGUACCUUAUUGUGGGGGAUAACGCAGCGAAAGCUGUGCUAAUACCGCAUAAUCCCUAAGGGGGAAAGCGGGGGACCGUAAGGCCUCGCGCAAUUAGAGCGGCCGAUACCUGAUUAGCUAGUUGGUGAGGUAAAGGCUCACCAAGGCAACGAACAGUAGCUUGUCUGAGAGGAAGCACAGCAACACAGGGACGGGAACACGGCCCAGACUCCUACGGGAGGCAGCAGUGGGGAAUUUUGGACAAUGGGGGGAACCCUGAUCCAGCAAUGCCGCGUGAGUGAAGGAGGCCUUCGGGUUGUAAAGCUCUUUUGUCAGGGAAGAAACAGCAGCUCUAACACAGUUUGCGAAUGACGGUACCUGAAGAAUAAGCACCGGCUAACUACGUGCCAGCCGCCGCCGUAA